UUAAAUGACUCGGGGUGCCCCUGGUAAACAGGGCUGAGAUACACCCGCUGACCUGAUCUGGAUAAUGCCAGCGUAGGGAAGUCAGAUGCCUGAGCG
rnacentral:ncRNA from 1 species